rnacentral:lncRNA from 1 species
AUGUUCUCUUCCUUUUCCUUCUUUAUUUCCUCAUCCUUUGUUCUUUUUUUUCAUCUCUUCUUUCUCCUUUUCUCCUCCAUCACUUCUUUCUUCUCUUCCUUUUCUGCCUUCACCUGUUUCUUCUCCUCUCUUCCAUCUCUUUCUCCUCUUUCCUAUCUCCUCUUCCUUCUCUUUCUCCUCCCCUCCUCCUCCUGCUCCACCUCCUUUCCUGUUCUAUCUCCUCCUCUUCAUCCCCCUCCUCUUUCUUUUCCUUUGCUCUAUCUCAUCCUCUUCUUCCUUCUCUUCCCCAUCUCUCUUGCUCCUCUUGUAUCUCCCUCAUCUCAUCCUCCUUGUCCCCCUCCUUCUUCUCCAUUUCCUUUUCUUCCUCUCCAACUCUUUCCUCUUCUUCAUCUCUUCUUCCUCCUUUUCACCUCCUUUCUCCAUUUUCUCUUGCUCCCUAUUUUCUUCUAUCCUUCCAUUUUCUUCCUUCAUCUCUUCCAUCUUUUCUUCCUCUAUCUUUCUUCUCCUCCCCUUCUAUUUUUUCUCUUCUAUUUUCUCAUCAUCAUCGUCCUAUUUCAUUUCCUCUUCCUCAUCCUUCAUACCUUCCUCCUGUAUCUCCUGUUCAUCCUUCUACAUUUCCUCUUCGUAUCUAUUUCCUCCUCUUCCUCAAUCUCCUACCUAUACUUCAUCUCCUCUUUCUCUAUCUCCUCCUACUCUUCUACAUCCCUUCACUUCUCCAUCUCCUCCUCUGUUUUCUCCUCCAUCUGUUCUCCCUUUUCUUUCCAUCCAUAUCAUUCCUUAUCUAUCUCUCUUCUCUGCUGUUUCCUCUGCCAUCUUUCUCAGUUUUGUUCUUCUACAUCUCUCCUCCUCCGCUGCCUCCUCCUUUUACUUUGCCUGCUUCCUGCUCCAUCUUCUCUUUCUCCAGCUCCUCUUCCACCUUCUCCUUCUCUCCCAUCUCCUUCUCCUCCUCCAUUUCCUCAUGUCUCUUGUUCUUCCACUAUCUCCAUCCCCUCCUCCUCCUCCACCCCAUUCUCACCAUCUCUUCCUACUCUUUCCUCUAUCUUUCCUGUACCUCCUCCUCUUCCAUAUUCUUUUACCUCAUUUCCUACUGCCCCUUCAUCUCCAUCUUCUAUGUCUGUCUCCCUCCCCUUCUGGCUCCUUUUCUCAUUCACUUCUUUCUCCUCUAACUCUUCAUCUUUCUCCUCCGCCAUUCCCCUCUUCUCCUCACUCUUGUCCUCCUCCAUCUCCUUUCUGUUUUCAUCUCCAUCUUUUUCAGUAUCUUCCUCUAUGUCUUCCUUCUUCUCACCAUCUCCUCUCCAAUCUCCUCCAUCUUUUCCUCUUUCAUCUCAUUGCCCUGCUCCUCCAACACGUCUCCUUUUCCUUAAUCACUUUCUUCAUCUACACCUACCUCUGCCUGCAUCUCUUUGCUCUCUACUCAUCUCCUUUUACUGUCUUACCCCCCACUUACUCAUCUCAGCUCUCUAUCCUCCCUCCUUUGUAUCUUCCCUACCCACAUCUCUUCCAUCCCCCCUCUUCUGCCUUCCUUUCCUGCCUCCUCUUUCAUAUCUCACACCUCUACCUCAGCCCCUGCCCUUCCCUUCUUUAUCUUCACCUCACUUGUCUCCUCCACCUUUCCCUUGCCUCAUCUCUUCCUUCCUUCAUCUUCUCCUUCUACCUUCUCUUCCUCCUUUAUCUCCUUACCUUUUCCUACUCUUGUCUCCUGCUGCUCCAUCUUCUCCUCUAUCUUGUCAUUCUCUUCACUGUCAACUAUCUCUUACGUUUCUCUCCAUCUCCCUUUUCCCUGCCACUCUUCCUCUUCCAUCUCUUCCUGUUUCCUAUUCUUUAUAUCCUAAUCCUCCAUAUCUUCUCUUGUAUCUCCUCUUUGUUCAUCUCCUCCAUAUCUUCCCCAUUCUCUAUUUCCUCCUCCAUAAUCUUUUUUCUCCUAUCUUCUCCUACUUCCUUUCUUUUCCUCUCAUUUGCUCUUCCAUCUCCUCCCCUAUUUUCAACUCCUCUUUCUCCUUUCCAUCCUUCUUCGAUUCACCUAUCCCCCUCUCCACCCGUCAUCAACCUCCUCCACAUCUCCCCUCUCCCUCCAUCUUUCUCCUCCUUCAUCUCUUCAUUUCACCUUUCUCUCCUUGCUCCUCCAUUUCCCCCUUUUUUCAUCUCAUUUUCUUUUUCUUUCUUUCUUUUUUUUUUGUUUUUGUUUUUGUUUUUUGUUUUUUUUUUGCUUUUUUGUUUUUGUUUUUUGUGGUUUUUAGAGACAGGGUCUCUCUGUGUAGCCCUGGCUGUCCUGGAACUCACUCUGUAGGCCAGGCUAGUCCCGAACUCAGAAAUCCACCUGCCUCUGCCUCCCGAGUUCUGGGAUUAAAGGCAUGCGCCACCAUGCCCGGCUCAUCUCAUUUUCUUAUUCUCCUUCCUACUUCUCCAUUGCUUCCUCUUUCCCCUCUCUCCUGCCUUUUCAUUUACUAUUCUUUCCCCCUUCUCCUCUCCUUCUUCAAUCUCCUGUCCUCUUCCUUACCACUCCUCUUUUCCUUCUCCAUCUUCUUAUUCAUAGUCCUCGUUCCUCCCAUAUCUCUUCUUCCCACUUCUUCUCCUGCUCCUCAUAUGUUCUAUUUCUCCUUAUUAAUCCCCCACUGCCUGUGUCUUCUUUCCUCCUCCCGACCCUCCAUAUCAGUCUCCACUUCCUCCUCCUCCUCCUGCUGCUUCCCCUCUUCCUCCUGCUUCUUCCUUCUCCAUCUUUUCUACCUGAUCUUCCCCUUUUUCUGUGAAUUUUUCUCUACCUCACUGUUCACCCUCCACCUCCUCCUCUGUCUUUCCUUGCCUUUGGUUUCCUCUACAGCGUCUCAUCCAAUGUCUCCUGCUGUUCUUCCUUCUCUCUGGCAUUUACACUGUUUCUGCUUCUGCUUCUCCUAA